CGGAAUUGGAUAUCCUGCUGUAGAUAUUUCUGCUAUUUUCACGCUGUUUUUAAUCAGGGCCGUCCGAUCUAAUAUUGAUGGUUGUGAUUGAUUUGUACUGAUUUUAUUAAAAAGUAAUAAGAACCGUCCGAUUUGAAAUGGAUGGUUGAGAUGCACUACAACGUGUAACUGUGAGAUUUAUUACUGUAGUGCAUCCUGAUCC
rnacentral:lncRNA from 1 species